UAAGUUGCUACGAGGAAAGCGGAACUCCCAUCCCCUUCCCCCUGUGCUGGCGCUCCCAGAUCCCGUGGUUGUGAAUCUUCCUAUCAAGGAUGAAACACUGGUGUGAACCCUGUGCUGUCCCCACCAUGUUCCAUAAGGACUUGAUCAUCCCUGCAUAUCGCCACCAGAUCUUUGAAAGAACACAGUCCAUUUUCCCAUAAAGAAACACCAAUAAACACCCCCAGCAAAG